GAUGAAGAACGUAGCGAAAUGCGAUAAGUAAUGUGAAUUGCAGAAUUCAGUGAAUCAUCGAAUCUUUGAACGCACAUUGCGCCCCCUGGUAUUCCGGGGGGCAUGCCUGUUCGAGCGUCAUUACAACCCUCAAGCUCUGCUUGGUGUUGGGCCCCGCCGCCCCGGCGGGCCCUAAAAUCAGUGGCGGUGCCGUCCGGCUCCGAGCGUAGUAAUUCUUCUCGCUCUGGAGGUCCGGGUGUGUGCUCGCCAGCAACCCCCAAUUUUUUUCAGGUUGACCUCGGAUCAGGUAGGGAUACCCGCUGAGCUUAAGCAUAUCAAUAAGCGGAGGA
rnacentral:misc_RNA from 1 species